GAUGAACGCUAGCUACAGGCUUAACACAUGCAAGUCGAGGGGCAUCAGUUUGGUUUGCUUGCAAACCAAAGCUGGCGACCGGCGCACGGGUGAGUAACACGUAUCCAACCUGCCUCAUACUCGGGGAUAGCCUUUCGAAAGAAAGAUUAAUAUCCGAUAGCAUAUAUUUCCCGCAUGGGUUUUAUAUUAAAGAAAUUCGGUAUGAGAUGGGGAUGCGUUCCAUUAGUUUGUUGGCGGGGUAACGGCCCACCAAGACUACGAUGGAUAGGGGUUCUGAGAGGAAGGUCCCCCACAUUGGAACUGAGACACGGUCCAAACUCCUACGGGAGGCAGCAGUGAGGAAUAUUGGUCAAUGGACGCGAGUCUGAACCAGCCAAGUAGCGUGAAGGAUGACUGCCCUAUGGGUUGUAAACUUCUUUUAUAUGGGAAUAAAGUGGUCCACGUGUGGAUUUUUGUAUGUACCAUAUGAAUAAGGAUCGGCUAACUCCGUGCCAGCAGCCGCGGUAAUACGGAGGAUCCGAGCGUUAUCCGGAUUUAUUGGGUUUAAAGGGAGCGUAGGCGGAUUGUUAAGUCAGUUGUGAAAGUUUGCGGCUCAACCGUAAAAUUGCAGUUGAUACUGGCAGUCUUGAGUGCAGUAGAGGUGGGCGGAAUUCGUGGUGUAGCGGUGAAAUGCUUAGAUAUCACGAAGAACUCCGAUUGCGAAGGCAGCUCACUGGA
rnacentral:rRNA from 1 species